rnacentral:rRNA from 1 species
UGGGGAAUAUUGGACAAUGGGCGCAAGCCUGAUCCAGCCAUGCCGCGUGAGUGAUGACGGCCUUAGGGUUGUAAAGCUCUUUCGUCCGGGACGAUAAUGACGGUACCGGAAGAAGAAGCCCCGGCUAACUUCGUGCCAGCAGCCGCGGUAAUACGAAGGGGGCUAGCGUUGUUCGGAAUCACUGGGCGUAAAGGGCGCGUAGGCGGCUUUGUAAGUCGGGGGUGAAAGCCUGUGGCUCAACCACAGAAUUGCCUUCGAUACUGCGAGGCUUGAGACCGGAAGAGGUCAGUGGAACUGCGAGUGUAGAGGUGAAAUCCGUAGAUAUUCGCAAGAACACCAGUGGCGAAGGCGGCUGACUGGUCCGGAUCUGACGCUGAGGCGCGAAAGCGUGGGGAGCAAA